rnacentral:lncRNA from 1 species
AGUAAACUAGGUAGUAGAAACUUAAUAGAAUAAUGCUGCUGUUACUAGCAGCAUUCAGGUGAUAAACAAACAACCUGUUUCAUUUUCAAACUACAUAACUUGGAAGAUUACUAGCUACAUAUCAUAGGCAGAAACACAAUACAAAACUGCUUAUUUGUUUUGGUUUGGUAAUGCAUGCUUCUACUCUCACUCAACCCUUCAUUAGUACUCUAACCAAAUUGCUUACUAAAUCAUUGAUACAAUUUUUCAAUAGUUUGAGUUGUUGGACAGUCCAUUCAUUCAAAACCUCAUAUUUUGCUGCAGACUUAGCAUCCAUGGUUUUUUCAGGUUGAAACCUUGCUCCCCUUUGGUGGUGUAUUACCAAACUUCCAGUGUAAUUAACUAAAUCUAUCAGGUAAAACAUCACCUGCUACCACAUUUUAAUUUGUUCUGCAUCAGAAAUCCCUUUCAAAUCCUCUGCUGUGAUAUUUACUUUUACUGAAUCAAUGUUACUAUCCUUAGAAUUACGCAACAACAUCAUUUCAGCUGUGAAGCCAUCGGCAGCACUUAACCGUCCUGGCGCUGAAAACAUGAAAGUAAGGCAACUAUCAGAUGCCAUACAUGAUGAGGUUGGGUAAGUGGACCUUGUUGUCAAAGUUAUUUAUGACUUUAAACUUAAGAACUUUAUUUAUAUGUGUAUAUAUGCAUAUAAGAGUGAAAAUUAAGAAUCCAUAUUGGAUUUCUUAGUUGAAAUAAUGCCUGUUCCCAAAUAAAAUGCUUACAUCUUUCUUUAUGGUGUGUUUUAUUUAUACGAAAUCUGGUUAUUAAAAAUUUUAGCAUUGGGAAUAAUAAGAUAUGGAUAUAAGUAUAAAUUGGGAGCAGUUUGUGAGAAGAAUAUCAACUCAGAGUUCCGUUAGCUAUUCAAGAGUAUGCUAGAUUUUUCACUUAAUCUUCACAUAUGCUUCACCAGCUAUAAGUUCUUGUUGGUUAUUUCCAUGUAGUCAAUAAUGUUGAUGUUAAUGUGACACUUCAAUUUUUUUAUAAUGAUUAGGAACAAAGUGAUGGGCUAGAUUUCAGAUAGUCUCUAGGAAAUAAUAAGAUCGGAAGGUAGCAUGAGAGCUGAAAUUACAGAAGCAAUUGUUUCCCACAGAAAUAAUAAUGAGAGUAAACUUGCAAGUUGUUUCUCAUAGAGAGUAAACUUGCAAGUUGUUUCCCAUAGCCAUCGUGAUGUAAAUGUUGCACUAUAAAUGGAUCAGUCGUGAACCACUGAGACGAUAUACCUCUUUCUCUACUCUAAUGGCCUUUCCUUUUAGUUUUCAGUCGGGAAGGGAGCCAUUUAUUUGCUAAUUGUAAUAACCCGGUUCCAUAUUCCUUUUUGAUAAUUUUUUCUAUGCUAGCAUUCUUGAGAAUCAUCAAGGGGUUACUAAUAUUGUAAGAGGUUGUUUUACUAAAAUAACCAUUCUUAUUGUCAUCUGUUGGUUUUCACUAGUUCCUAAUCUCUGUUGCUUUAUUUGAUUGUUACUAAUAACUGGUUUAUUGGAGCUUUUGAAAAUGCACAAGGUAGGGAUGUGAAAAUUGAAACUGUAUGUACCUCUUAUUUGAACGACUUUCUAAACUUUGUAUCGACUCUGUAUCUUCCCUUUUUUUAGAGAAAUUUACCUUAAUUAUAGCAGCAAACAGGCUGAUUUUCCAAUGUUUCUAUUUCAUAUAAAUGCACUUUGUAGGACUUAUUUGGCACAUGAAAUGACUAUAUUAAUUCUUUUCAUGGAUUUUUCCCUCAAACCUUUCUACUUAUUGUUGUUGUUGAUCUUCUGAUAGACAUUAUUACUAUUUACAUUUUUUAAGCAACUUCAUUAUCACGUAUUGAUU